rnacentral:piRNA from 1 species
UCACCAACAGUCAGUGGUAGCCACUGUAGA